rnacentral:misc_RNA from 1 species
AACUUUUAACAAUGGAUCUCUUGGCUCUGGCAUCGAUGAAGAACGCAGCGAAAUGCGAUAAGUAGUGUGAAUUGCAGAAUUCAGUGAAUCAUCGAAUCUUUGAACGCACAUUGCGCCCCUUGGUAUUCCAUGGGGCAUGCCUGUUCGAGCGUCAUCUACACCCUCAAGCUCUGCUUGGUGUUGGGCGUCUGUCCCGCCUCUGCGCGUGGACUCGCCCCAAAUUCAUUGGCAGCGGUCUUUGCCUCCUCUCGCGCAGCACAUUGCGCUUCUCGAGGUGCGCGGCCCGCGUCCACGAAGCAACAUUACCGUCUUUGACCUCGGAUCAGGUAGGGAUACCCGCUGAACUUAAGCAUAUCAAUAAGCGGAGGCU